rnacentral:rRNA from 1 species
CAGCCGCCACGGGAACACGGAGGGUGCAAGCGUUAAUCGGAAUUACUGGGCGUAAAGCGUGCGUAGGCGGUUCGUUAAGUCUGUUGUGAAAGCCCCGGGCUCAACCUGGGAAUGGCAAUGGAUACUGGCGAGCUAGAGUGUGUCAGAGGAUGGUGGAAUUCCCGGUGUAGCGGUGAAAUGCGUAGAGAUCGGGAGGAACAUCAGUGGCGAAGGCGGCCAUCUGGGACAACACUGACGCUGAGGCACGAAAGCGUGGGGAGCAAACAGGAUUAGAGACCCCCGUAGUCCCUGUCUCUUAUAC